rnacentral:rRNA from 1 species
GUGUCAGCAGCCGCGGUAAUACGUAGGGUGCAAGCGUUAAUCGGAAUUACUGGGCGUAAAGCGUGCGCAGGCGGUUUUGUAAGUCUGUCGUGAAAUCCCCGGGCUCAACCUGGGAAUUGCGAUGGAGACUGCAAGGCUAGAAUCUGGCAGAGGGGGGUAGAAUUCCACGUGUAGCAGUGAAAUGCGUAGAGAUGUGGAGGAACACCGAUGGCGAAGGCAGCCCCCUGGGUCAAGAUUGACGCUCAUGCACGAAAGCGUGGGGAGCAAACAGGAUUAGAUACCCUGGUAGUCCACGCCCUAAACGAUGUCUACUAGUUGUCGGGUUUUAAUUAACUUGGUAACGCAGCUAACGCGUGAAGUAGACCGCCUGGGGAGUACGGUCGCAAGAUUAAAACUUAAAUGAAUUGACGGGG